GACGAACGCUGGCGGCGUGCCUAAUACAUGCAAGUAGAACGCAGUUGCGAACGGGUGAGUAACGCGUAGGUAACUGCCUCAUAGCGGGGGAUAACUAUUGGAAACGAUAGCUAAUACCGGAUACUUUGAGAUGGGACUGCGUUGUAUUAGCUAGUUGGGUAGGUAAAGGGUCACCAAGGCGACGAUAGAUAGCCGAACUGGGAGGGUGUACGGCCAAACUGGGAAUUAGACCAGGCUCCGACUUCUACCGGAGGCAGCCGUAGGGAAUCCUCGCCAAAGGACGGAAAUCCUGCCGAGCAACGCCGGCUGAGUGAAGAAAGUUUUCGGAUCGUAAAGCUCUGUUUUUAGAGAAGCGGUAACUAACCAGAAAGGGACGGCUAACUACGUGCCAGCAGCCGCGGUAAUAC
rnacentral:rRNA from 1 species